rnacentral:rRNA from 1 species
UACGGGGGGGGCAAGCGUUGUUCGGAAUUACUGGGCGUAAAGGGCUCGUAGGCGGCCAACUAAGUCGGAUGUGAAAUCCCCAGGCUUAACUUGGGAACUGCAUCCGAUACUGGAUGGCUUGAAUCCGGGAGAGGGAUGCGGAAUUCCAGGUGUAGCGGUGAAAUGCGUAGAUAUUCGGAGGAACACCAGUGGCGAAGGCGGCUCACUGGUCCAUUACUGACGCUGAGGUGCGAAAGCGUGGGGAGCAAACAGG